rnacentral:lncRNA from 1 species
CCUAAGUUAGUUCUUUGACAAUAGAGAAUCCUGGUGUGAAAUGGCUCCUCAAUUCCUUUUGUUGAAUCUGGCCACAUUUCCUCAAGUAUUUUUGAAUGACUUUUGGAUCAUGAUUCCAAAUGAACUCCUGGGAUUGGUUACCCACCAUUUCAGAACUCUGCUACAACUGUAAGGUUUGUCCCUUUAGUUAUGGUAAAGUACUCCAACAAGGGUUUGCAGAAAAAAAUACAGUCAUGAAAAUAAGCUAGACAGAGCCAGAUACCAUAUCGAUUGAAAAGGGUCAACUGAAACUGGAAGGAACUAAGGAAAGUUGAAUCUAAAUUGCAGCACUGUGAGAGAAGGAAUCAUGUUUGGAAGAAUCCUACAAGUUGUUGGAAGGAAUCAUUACCAUGGGAAUACUCAGGCAGGUGGGACUGCAGACAGCUUUGACCCAGAAUUGAACCCAUCAUUUUAAUUAAGGAAAAACAGUACACUUAAGUCUGUCCUUAAUCCUCUUUCCUCAGAAUCUCAGAAAAUAGCCAUGAAGAAACUAGGAGAAAGUGAGUGAACAGAAGAUUAAAGGAGCAUCAGACAGUGAGCAGCACGUUGGUAGAAAUUCAGAUACCAUCUUCCCCUCAACAAAAUUAUACUUGGGACUCUGGAAGAAUGUAUUGUGAUGAAUAUUGUAAGAAAAAUACCCUAACUGCCAGAAUCAUAUAAAUCAGACCUUGUUGCUAUAGAUGUAAUAUGGUUUAUAGGAGACAUGAACUAGGAAGAAAUUAGAUGCCCAAGUUCCAAAACCCUGAAAGGAGGGCUGAAUGGACUCCCUGGACCAUCUACCUUUGGAACUUACCAUACUGUGCACACUGAAUCAAUAUUCUAAAAUUCAUCUUUGGCAAGAAUUGCAUGCCCUGAAUACAAGCCAUUCCCCAGUUGAUCAAUAGUCAAAGGAUAUGAACAGGCUGUUUUCAGAUGAAGAAAUCAAAGAUAUCUAUAGGCAUAGAAAGAAGUGCUCUAAAUCUUUUGAUUUGAGAUAUGCAAAGUAAAGUAACUCUGAAAUACCACCUCAGACCAAACAGAGUGUCUAAUAUGACAAAAAAGGUGAAUGAUAAAUGAUAAAGAAACAACAGAUAAAUCCUAAAUAAUGAGGAGCAGGAAGGUGACCCAGAUGGUCCCAGGUAAAAAGGAUUCAAUAUUUAUGAUUUUCACUGAG